rnacentral:misc_RNA from 1 species
CCGAGUUAUCAACUCCCAAACCCCUGUGAACAUACCUUUUGUUGCCUCGGCGGGAUCGCACCGGCGCCUCCGGGCCCGGAUCCAGGCGCCCGCCGCAGGACCCAAACUCUUGUUUUCCAUAUGAAUCUUCUGAGUGACACAAGCAAAUAAAUUA